AUCGCUUCUCGGCCUUUUGGCUAAGAUCAAGUGUAGUAUCUGUUCUUAUCAGUUUAAAUAAAAUAGUCAAGGGUUCAGAUCCCUGUACCAGCCACCAAAAAAAAAAAAGAGUGUAUAAAAUUAAAUAAAAUAAAAAAGGCUAGUAUGUACAGUAUUGGACAGCCCAGAUUUAUAGAACAUCUCUACCAUCA